GAUGAACGCUGGCGGCGUGCCUAAUACAUGCAAGUCGAGCGAACAGACGAGGAGCUUGCUCCUCUGACGUUAGCGGCGGACGGGUGAGUAACACGUGGAUAACCUACCUAUAAGACUGGGAUAACUUCGGGAAACCGGAGCUAAUACCGGAUAAUAUAUUGAACCGCAUGGUUCAAUAGUGAAAGACGGUUUUGCUGUCACUUAUAGAUGGAUCCGCGCCGCAUUAGCUAGUUGGUAAGGUAACGGCUUACCAAGGCAACGAUGCGUAGCCGACCUGAGAGGGUGAUCGGCCACACUGGAACUGAGACACGGUCCAGACUCCUACGGGAGGCAGCAGUAGGGAAUCUUCCGCAAUGGGCGAAAGCCUGACGGAGCAACGCCGCGUGAGUGAUGAAGGUCUUCGGAUCGUAAAACUCCGUUAUUAGGGAAGAACAAAUGUGUAAGUAACUAUGCACGUCUUGACGGUACCUAAUCAGAAAGCCACGGCUAACCACGUG
rnacentral:rRNA from 1 species